rnacentral:rRNA from 1 species
UACGUAGGGGGCUAGCGUUGUCCGGAUUUAUUGGGCGUAAAGAGCGUGUAGGCGGCCAGGUAGGUCUGCUGUGAAAACUCGAGGCUCAACCUCGAGACGUCGGCGGAAACCAUCUGGCUAGAGUCCGGAAGAGGAGAGUGGAAUUCCUGGUGUAGCGGUGAAAUGCGCAGAUAUCAGGAAGAACACCAGUGGCGAAGGCGGCUAUCUGGACGGUUUCUGACGCUAAGACGCGAAAGCGUGGGGAGCAAACAGG